rnacentral:lncRNA from 1 species
CCUGAUGCACUUAAAGCUAAAGUUGCAGAGGCAAUGGAUGUGCUGAGGAGUGUAGCUCAGCAGCAGCAAGCUGGUGGUGCAGCUGAUCAGUUAGCGUCUCUGUCUCUUGGAGACAACAUCGUACCUUGAGUUAUAAGUGCUUUGUUUGUCCUUGUGGAGAAUCAGAUACAAAGAGUGGUUCUUGAAAGUUUUGGAUUACAAUGUGUUUUUUUUUGUUUUGGAUUUCAGCUAAUCUUUAAUACUUUGGGAAGUUUUGGAUCAUUUACCCAUUCCAUAGAUCUUGGUUUGCUUUUAUCUAUUUAAGAUUCAUAAAACGUUUGGUUUAAUGCGUUUGAUGAUCUUAGUCACAAAAUGCACCAAAACUAGCGCAUUGCUGAGUUCAUAUUAAUUAGUUCAUUUAGUUCUAAUUGCAUACACAAAACAAUAUUUCAUCCAAAUUGUGUUUUUUUUCUUUGUUUCUAUAUUGACACCAAAGGCACUAUGGAAAUUAGAUUGUAUGCCUAACAAAAAAAUUAUAAAAAUCUAACAGUUUUACCUAAUUAGCUAGAGUAUACGAUAUAUUUUAUGUGUAAAUGUUAUUUUGCCUUUAUAAUCAUGAAUCAACCAACAAUCUGGUAAGAAAUACAUAAUAAAAUAAUUAUUAAAUAAUUGUAAUUAGUAUAUCAUGUCUCAUCCAGCAAUCUGGCCUUUGUUUAAGUGUCUUAAGUUCAUAAACUAAUAACGCAAGAUUUUAUUAUAGUUUUGAAAAGUCUCAAUUGAAUAAGACUAGAAUAAUUAUAAAAUCUAAAUCUAUAUAACUCUUUAAAUACACAAUCUAAAAACUUUAUUACAUUUUGAAUGUGACAGGUGAUGCGUGACCCUACUGGAGUGAGUAGAGGAUCUGGAUUUGUGGCAUUCUCAACUCCUGAGGAAGCAUCUAGAGCUGUAAGUGACUACCAUAUAAAGAAGACAUGUGAAUUUUAAAGCGAUCUCAAUGUUUAACUUGUCCUUGGGUUCAGAUUGCUGAGAUGAAUGGUAAAAUGAUUGUCUCAAAGCCUCUAUAUGUCGCUCUUGCACAGAGGAAAGAAGACCGCAAAGCUAGGUUACAGGUCUGUUUAUGUUUUUAACCUUAAAACAAGAGUUGACGUUAUCCUAUUCUCAUAGUACUCAAUUUUCACUUUCUUUGCAUUUCAGGCUCAGUUUUCACAGAUGAGGCCAGUACCUGCGGUUGGUCCUAGGAUGCCAAUGUAUCCACCAGGUGGCCCACCAAUGGGUCAACAACUCUUCUAUGGCCAAGGACCUCCUGGCAUGAUUCCUCCUCAGGUAAAAGUCAAAGUUCUUUAGCUAAAAACAUGUGAAACCAAUCUUUAUAACUCUUCUUCUCCAUUGAACAGCCUGGAUACGGGUAUCAACAACAGCUUGUACCGGGCAUGAGACCUGGCGGCUCACCGAUGUCAAACUUCUUCAUGCCUAUGAUGCAACAAGGCCAGCAACAACAGCAGCAGCAACGACCUGGUGGUGGUGGUAGAAGAGGAGGAGCUCUUCCACAACAACCUUCCCCUAUGAUGCAGCCACAGCAGGUUAAGUAUCUUCUGCAGCAAUUAUUGUCUCUUUGAGAAUCAUUUGCGUUCUUAUAUUUUGCUGUAUUCUCCAGAUGCAUCCAAGGGGUAGAAUGUAUAGGUAUCCACAGAGAGAUGUAAACCCAAUGCCUGGUCUUACUCCAAACAUGCUGUCUGUACCGUAUGAUGUGUCUGGUGGUGGUGCUCAUCUUCGUGAUUCACCUGCUGCUUCUCAGCCUGUUCCUAUUGGAGCUUUGGCUACAUCACUCGCUAAUGCGGCUCCUGAGCAUCAGAGAACGGUAAUAUUAAAAUGUUGUUUUUUUUGUCACUGAGACAAUUUAUUGUUUACUGAAAAAGUGUUGUUUUUUCUUCCUCACAGAUGCUUGGUGAGAAUCUGUACCCACUAGUGGAGCAGCUUGAGCCAGAAUCAGCAGCUAAAGUCACGGGAAUGCUUCUUGAAAUGGACCAAACCGAAGUACUUCACUUGCUGGAAUCUCCUGAUGCACUUAAAGCUAAAGUUGCAGAGGCAAUGGAUGUGCUGAGGAGUGUAGCUCAGCAGCAGCAAGCUGGUGGUGCAGCUGAUCAGUUAGCGUCUCUGUCUCUUGGAGACAACAUCGUACCUUGAGUUAUAAGUGCUUUGUUUGUCCUUGUGGAGAAUCAGAUACAAAGAGUGGUUCUUGAAAGUUUUGGAUUACAAUGUGUUUUUUUUUGUUUUGGAUUUCAGCUAAUCUUUAAUACUUUGG